rnacentral:lncRNA from 1 species
ACAAGUUGAGGUUUACAACCUAUCAUGUUGACACUAUUUUGUUUCUAUGCCAUUCAAAUUAAGUUAAUUAUGCAUAUGAGUUCUCAUUUUAACGCAUAAAAGGCAGGCACCUUGAUCAAUGAAAAGUACAUGGAUAGGAAAAAGGUGAGUUGUUUAACUACUUGGAAGACAUGGUGGGCAGCUGUGCUACCAUAAGGCAAGAAAUCAAGAUUAAGAAAGUUCGGUCCAUAUAAGUUUGAAUUUGUCGUAAACCUUGGACAGGAACACAUACACCAUUAAAAUCUAAGUCUCAUAAGAUUUUUUUCAUUCAUGAAAAUGACUGUGAGAAAAUGCUUUCACUAAGAGAGAUUUUAAGAAGAUAGCAAUUAUAAAAUUACAUUCUCAAAUUUGAUUAUGGUUACAAUAUCCCUUUCCAUGAUUCGAAUUGUGAGAUUUGGGAAUAUGUCGUAAACCUUGGACAGGAACACAUACACCAUUAAAAUCUAAGUCUCAUAAGAUUUUUUUCAUUCAUGAAAAUGACUGUGAGAAAAUGCUUUCACUAAGAGAGAUUUUAAGAAGAUAGCAAUUAUAAAAUUACAUUCUCAAAUUUGAUUAUGGUUACAAUAUCCCUUUCCAUGAUUCGAAUUGUGAGAUUUGGGAAUAAGUCUUAAUUGUUUAAGACACAUAUGAGCUAUCUUGGAUAAAUGUGUAUGAGAUUAAGAAGCCUUGAUAAAGGAUUAUCAAAGCACUAAGUAUUAGAAACAUGGAAUUAAGAAAUUCAAUAGGUAUUGUUUUUCUGAAAGUUAAGAUGUUUAUGAAUACAUGUCAAAGCUAGUGGGAGCAUAAGUGGUUAUGUUUAUAAUAAUCAUCAUGAUAGUGGGAGCAUAAAUGUUAUGACUGUAUGAUUAUUAAGGAAAGUAUUGCAGGUUGGCAAUAUUAAUUAUAGAAAAACAAGAGUUAUACUUUGCAAAGUAGUAAGGAUGUAAAGUUGUUUUACUAUAAUUAAGGGAGAGAAUAUUGUACUUCGUUUCAUUAUCUAAAGCUUAGAUUGAGAAAUUUUAAUAAAUUUAGUCAAAGUAUACAUAGUGCGUUCUUAAAUUUCGAUUAUGAUUACGACAUUCCUCUUCAUAUUUCGAAUUAUGAGAACGUAGCACGUAAAAUAUUAUGGCAGAAGAUUGAUAAAGUAUUAAAUCUUCAUGUAAGACGUUUUGCAUCGUGUCCCAUACGCUUCGGGUACAGGAUCGAUUGAAAAUGCUAUAAUAUUUGACCAUUCUAAAAUUUUCCAAAUGUCUAGCGCAUUUAGAGGGAAAAAGGACAAGAAUCGGUUUUGACUAAGAUAAUUAAACAACUAUCAA